rnacentral:rRNA from 1 species
ACAUGCAAGUCGAGCGGAUGACGGGAGCUUGCUCCUUGAUUCAGCGGCGGACGGGUGAGUAAUGCCUAGGAAUCUGCCUGGUAGUGGGGGACAACGUUUCGAAAGGAACGCUAAUACCGCAUACGUCCUACGGGAGAAAGCAGGGGACCUUCGGGCCUUGCGCUAUCAGAUGAGCCUAGGUCGGAUUAGCUAGUUGGUGAGGUAAUGGCUCACCAAGGCGACGAUCCGUAACUGUCUGAGAGGAUGAUCAGUCACACUGGAACUGAGACACGGUCCAGACUCCUACGGGAGGCAGCAGUGGGGAAUAUUGGACAAUGGGCGAAAGCCUGAUCCAGCCAUGCCGCGUGUGUGAAGAAGGUCUUCGGAUUGUAAAGCACUUUAAGUUGGGAGGAAGGGCAGUAAGUUAAUACCUUGCUGUUUUGACGUUACCGACAGAAUAAGCACCGGCUAACUCUGUGCCAGCAGCCGCGGUAAUACAGAGGGUGCAAGGUUAAUCGGAAUUACUGGGCGUAAAGCGCGCGUAGGUGGUUUGUUAAGUUGGAUGUGAAAGCCCCGGGCUCAACCUGGGAACUGCAUCCAAAACUGGCAAGCUAGAGUACGGUAGAGGGUGGUGGAAUUUCCUGUGUAGCGGUGAAAUGCGUAGAUAUAGGAAGGAACACCAGUGGCGAAGGCGACCACCUGGACUGAUACUGACACUGAGGUGCGAAAA